rnacentral:rRNA from 1 species
UGCCAGCAGCCGCGGUAAUACGGAGGGUGCGAGCGUUAAUCGGAAUUACUGGGCGUAAAGCGCACGCAGGCGGUUUGACAAGCUAGAUGUGAAAGCCCCGGGCUUAACCUGGGAAUUGCAUUUAGAACUGUCAGACUAGAGUCAUCUAGAGGGGAGUGGAAUUCCAGGUGUAGCGGUGAAAUGCGUAGAGAUCUGGAGGAACAUCAGUGGCGAAGGCGACUCCCUGGAGAUAGACUGACGCUCAUGUGCGAAAGCGUGGGUAGCGAACAGGAUUAGAUA